rnacentral:piRNA from 1 species
UCGUUUAAGUCUACUUUGUGA